UCGCUGACUCGGGAGGGCGGCCCGCGGACGGAGGGCACGAGCCCGCGCACAUCACGCGCUCUGGGGAGCGUCCUGACGAUUUCUCCCCUUGUGUGUAACUGGGGCUAUGUUCCAGCAUAACAGAGCAGGAGAUGCGCUCAGGCUGAGAAGGCAGAUGAAGGUACUACACCCUAAGGAGGCUGAACGACCUAACCAGCAAGUACCAGCUUGGGGACCGUGUUUGGGACUGGAGUAUAGGGACCGCAGGAGUUUGUGUGAACUUGCUACAAGGAUGGCUUCUAGAAGCAUGAAAGGAAGCUACGGCCCGUGCUCAGUGAGGUUGAAAUUGCUGGACCCCUGACAGAUGGCAGCUGAAGGCUAAACCGCUCAGGGAUUGUGAAGCUGGGAUACAUAUGAUGACUUUCUAAGGAUCAGAACUAUCAUGAUUGUGGAGGCCAAGUGGAGGUCUCUGUACCUGUUUCCAUCCCUGGUCAAAAUAAUACCGUUUGGAUUCACAUGGAGCAGACAACAGUAUGCAUUUCCCAUUGCUCCAGGGUUGUACCUUUCCAGUCUGUCAUAGUUCACGUACCACCUGGGUAUCUGAAGAACAUUGUGCCCAUUUGCUCCUCUGAUAGCUUGUCAAUGGAGUUAGAUUACAGGAAAUGUCUGGCACAUUGGAAGCCUUGGUAAGAAACGUGCAUUCCAUUGUUGGAGAAGAUGCCUGUGAAGAUUCAAUUAUCUGCCACAUGAGAACAAUUUUGAGUGCCCCAACAGUUGGGGACAUGCUGGGUCCUAUCAUCCAAAGUAAAACAUGAGUUAUACCACUUGAAUCUCCUGCAGAGAAGGAAGCACAAUGCCUGAGAGGACUUUUCAGGUUUUGGAGACAACAUAUUCCACAUCUCAGAACACUCUCUGCCUUGUAUACCAGGUGACACAAAAGACUGCCACUUAAAAAAAAAAAAGGUUUUAUUUGUUAAAGAAGGAGAGCACAGGGCAGGAGCAGAGGGAGAGGGAGAAGCAGGUUCCCUGCUGAGCACGGAUCCCAACACAGGGCACGAUCCCAGGACAUUGAGAUCACAACCUGAGCCAAAGUUCCCAACGCAGGGCUCCAUUCUAGGACGUUGAGAUCACGACCUGACCAAAGUCAGACUCUUAACUGACUGAACCCAAAAAGACUUCGACUUUUGAGUGUAUCCCAGAAUAGGAAAGUUCUCUGCAGAGCAGCAGAGUCUAAGCUGCAGUUGAAAGCAGCCUUGUUACUUGGGCAUAAGACUGAGCAGAUCUCAGAGGAUUGGGUGUAUCAUGGGUAGGGAACGAUACCUUCCAGGAGUCUGGAGCAAACCCAUGCUGUCCACAGAGGUGGCUCGGAUAUGUUUCAUAAAGCCGUUCCUGUAAUGCUGCUGGGCCCUGGUGGAAGACCGUUGGACAUGACAUGACCGCAUGCCCAGAACUGCAUCUUGUGAGGUUGGUGGAGAUGAGUGGACAAGACCCUCUCAAUCUCUUGGAUCUUGCAGCACAGAGCCUGCGGAAUGAGAAGGCCUCAGCUGUACGUGACCUGGGAGAGCUCCCUGUCGGCCUUUUCCCAACUCUGUCCACAGCAGCCUUUGAUGGGGGACACACGAAGACUGUGACAGCAAUGGUGCAGGCCUGGCCCUUUCCCUGCCUCCGUCUGGGACCGUUAAGAGAUCAGUCAAGAACUCAAGACCUCUUGGAAGCCGUCCUGGAUGGGCUGGAAUUGGUUCCUCCUAACGCUGUUUGGCCCAGGAGAUCAAAGCUGAAGGUGCUGGAUUUUACCCAUGACGUUGAGCACUCCAACUGGGAGGAGUGCUCGGAGGCUACUCCUGCACCCUUUGUCAUCACUCACAUGCUAGAAGAGCCGGAGGCGGACAAGCUGACACCCAGUUACAAAGAACAGCCUUAGCAUCACCGAGAACCCGAGGAAAUACACAGAGACCUUUUCCUAGGUGGUUUGUUCGGCUUCUUCCACCUGUCUGGGUUCCCCUCGUACAUACUCCAGAGAGUCGAGAAGAACCAUGGCGGUCUGCGCCUCCACUGUCAGACACUGGUCAUUGUCCAAGUGCCAUUCCUCAGCCUUGUCGAGAUCCUGGGGAUGCUGGAGCUGGAGACCAUCCGGGAGCUGAGGCUUCAUUACAGGAGUACGUUCUGCUCCCGUUCUGACCUAAUCCAGUUUUUUUUACCCGCGCAAGGGUAAAUGAGCAACCUGGGCAACCUCAUCAUGAACGACAUCCCCUGGGAUUUCCCUGCAGACUGUUUCUUUUUGCUGAGUCCACUGGGCCGCCUCUAGAAGCUCCAUCUCAUCUUUGGCUGUCUCUCGGGCCAGCUGCAUAAGAUGCUGAGUGAGUGUGCGACAAGUCCCUCUGAAGGGCCAGGGGCCAGGAUCCCUGGAGUCGUCCCUGAACCCUGCUGCGUCGGAGCAGAGACAAGCCUGGAUUUCCAAUCCUGUGAGGCCGCAGAGUCACUGAGGACACAGACUGCAAGGCUGAGGUCUUGGACCAGCCAGUGGCUGUCGAUUGCUAUAGAAGAGAAAGAUGCAGGUCUGAAAUUGGCCUGUCAUUCACUCUUUCAUUCAUUUUCACGCACUCAGUCCGUGCCAAGCAGACAGCUAAGAAUGGAUAUGAAACUCUGACCAAACUCAGGGUCUCGUCUUCCUAGAGCUUAUGUAGAGAAAGUGAACCAGGAUGGUAGGUUGUCAGGGUGGUGUUUGAGGGAGGGAACUGCCCCCUCACCAAUGUCUAAGCUCAGCUGAUUUGAUGAACUCCUUCCUCUCUUUUGUGUCUCACAGACUUCUCUGUAGCCUGCCCCCCCCACCCCCCCGAAUACAGAGCUGUUCUCCUGGGGCCUGGUCUUUGAGUAAAUAGAAGCAUGGGGAACCAUCUUCCCAAAUUCUCCAGCCAGUAAAACCUAUGCUUUACCAUGUGUAGGAGCUAUAGUUAAAUUUCAUUAAUUCAGCCACACUUUGUGGAGCAUGUGCGAUAAUUGUGUUGAUGGGGCUUAUUAGGAAGCUAAGGCUGAGAGGUGCCUGACUCCAUAGUCUGCAAACAGAGAGGUCCCAUGGCCAGCGGGGAUGGGUUUCACUCCACACUCUGUGGUCUUAACCACUACAGAAGCCUGGCUCCCACCAUGUGCAUCCAGACUCGGGUAGGCAUUGUGCCAAUUUCUCAGGCCAGAUUUCUGGAUCUUUCCCAAAUGUAUCUAGUGGGACACUCGAGUUUCCAAGAAGUGACUGUGUCUGUCUGUCCACAAUGGCCUGCAAAACCACUGGAGACGCUGGUGAUCAAUGGAUGCAGGCUCAUUGAGAAUGACAUCACCUACUUGUCCCAGAGCAUUCAUGCCACCCGCCUGAAGGAGUUGGUUCUCUGUGGCAAUAACCUGUCCCACACGGUUCCUGGGCCCCUCCAGGUUCUGCUGGGGGAGGUGUCUGGCACUCUACAGCACCUGAACUUGUGCAGCUGCCGGCUGAAGGAAGCCCAGCUCCGAACCCUGCUUGCCUGCUCUGUGCUGCUGCUCGAGCCUCCCCUCGCUCGUGUUCUACGACAAUGUCAUCUCCACAUCGGGCAUCACGAACGUGCUUCAACAGUUAGGAGGGUUGAAGGAGCUGAAGCGUGUGCAGUCCCCUGUUCCUGCUGAAUGUGUUGUAUACUUGGAUGAAUACAGGUGGGGGAAGCUCAACAGAGUGGAACUUGCCCGGGUGCACGCCAAGUUGCAGGAAAUGUUGCAACCACCCCAGCGGGCCGACAUGGAGUCAACUAAUUCUACCUCAGUGGCCUGACAAUGAAAACGCACAGCUGACCUGAUGGGGAAGAGGAGCAGCAUCUGUCCUGGAGCUGUGGUUGUGGAUUUCCCGGAUGGUGUGGCUUCAAGGAAAACUAUCAAAACAAGAAAACACAACCAACGCUCCAGUGGGGACUGCUGUUUCUGGAUCCAGCUGGGGCUCAAUUCUUCAUGAAAUCGACAAGCACUGGUCAAACAUGGACACUGUGCAAGUGUUCUGAUGCUGCGUAUAAAAGGACAACUUCGCCUGACACUGGUACUUCUAGUCUGUUUACCCAGUUUCCCUUUCAUUAUGCUUCAGUAUUCCCACUUUGAACAACACGCAGUUGGGUGAGUUAAUUCUCAAAACAUUAGUUUAUAAAGUGAGGUCAAUGAAAUGUUCAUCAAAGGAAUAGGUGAACGUGAUACGAUCAACACGGAGCGUUCAUUCAACUAUUUAUUCAAAUAUUUGUUGACUUCCUGUUUUGUUCAGAAACUGCUCUCACCGGGAAGACGGUGUAAACAUUCGGGGUGUCUGCUCUCCAAGAACUUAGCUUUGAAAGAGGAUGGGGCCCACUAAACCAAGUCAGCAGACCCGUAAGAAAGCUGGUUUCAAAGGAGCGCUGUAAGAAUGACAGAAGGAAUACCAGUCUGAUGAGGGCUUAUUGGAGUUAGGAGCACUAUGAGAUGAUUGAGAAUAUGCAUCAGUCUCUGCCCUCAGUUGCUGGCACAGAGCUCCUGAAACCUUGUCAUUUCCUAAGUAAUAACACUAGGAACAUCCUCUGUUCCAGCAUUUGGUCUUUGACCCCCAUCCCUGACAGAGGGCUUUUGUUCUUUUAAGAUUUUAUUUAUUCAUGAGAGAGACAGAGAGAGAGAGAGAGAGGGGCAGAGACACAGGCAGAGAGAGAAGUAGGCUUCCGCCCAGGGAGCCCGAUGUGGGACUGGAUCCUGGGACACUAGGACCACGCCCUGGGCCAAAGGCAGGGUAACCCACUGAGCCACCCAGGAGUCCCCAGAGGGCUCUUGAAAGCUUUAUAAAUUCCCAAGUGAUAAGGGUGCUAGGAUCAUCUUUUGUUCUAAUGAGGUGGCUCAGGCUGUGCUCUCAGAUGACUCCCAGAUGGGACUGGUCCCCAGAAAGAUGAGGCCAUGAUUACGAGCUUGGAAUUUUAGGCCCCAUCCCUCAUCUUCCAGAGCAGGGAAGAGGGGCUGGAAAUGGAAUGAUUGAUCAUGCCUAUGUGAGGAAACCUUCCUAAAACCCCAGUCAUAGGGGAUUUGGAGAGCUUCCACCUAGAUGUACCCCAACACCACAAGGACAGAAACUCCUGCACGUCCUCCCCCCGCCAGGACUUCACCCUGUGGAAAAAUCGCCUCACGCCUAAAGUGUCAGAAGUCACUUGUGUGAAGAGUAACGGAGACACAGGAGAGACUCCCAGCAGGGAAGCCCCAGGUUUUUCCCUUUGAAGGAGGUAGACAGAACUGGGGUUUUCCUUUAUAGCCCCUAUUCUUUUUGAGGGGGGUUGUGGUGGGGAAGAUCAGGGAAUUGAGGCUUCUGUGUGAACCUUCUGAUGACUCAUAGGUGAGUGUUGAGAAGCACCCAGAUAUGAGGAGAGCUGGGGACACCCCUCCCAGGCGGAGAAAUGAGAGAGACGGUGAGAAGGAGUCAAGGAGAUGGAGGCUUCACUUUGAGUAGUAUGGAUAGGUUAACAGUAUUUUUCCAAUCCAGGAACUUGGAAUGUCUUUCCAUUUAUUUGGGUCUUUGAAAAUUUCCUUCAUCAGUGUUUAUAAUUUUCAGCAUACGAGUCUUGCACCUCUUUUGGUUCCUAAGUAUUUUAUUCUUGCUGUUGUUAUGGUAGAUGGAAUUGUUUUCUUAAUUUCUUUUUUAGGUAUUUCAUUGUUAGUCUUUCGAAAUGUCUCCAAUUUUUAUACGUUGAUUUUAUAUUGUGUAAGUUUACUGAAUUUUAGUAGGUUUUUGUGGAAAGUCUUUACACUUUCCUACAUAUAUGAUCUUUCCACCUGUGAAUAGAUAAUUUUACUUUUUUCUUUAUGACUUCUAUACCUUGUGUUUCUGUGUCUUGCCUGAUUGCUCAGGCUAGGACUUCCAGAACAGUGUUGAGUAGCAGUAGUGAGAGUGGAGAUCGUUGCCUUGUUCUUUCAGGUUUAACGCACUGGUUAUAUUAGCUGUAGAGUUUUCAUAGAUGGGCUUUAUUGUGUUGAGGUUUUAGAAGUUUUACUGAACAUGAGUUGGUGUUGAAGUUUGUCACAUGUUCUGCGUCUGUUGAAAUGAUGAUGAUGUAAUAUUUGUGUCUCAUUGUUUGUAUUGUGUCUCACAUUGAUUUGCAUUGAUUUUGCAUGUGUGAGGCCAACUUUGAAUCCCAAGGAUAAAUCCCACUUGGUCAGGGUAUAGGACUCUCUUGAUGUGCUGUUGAAUUUAGUUUGUUAGUACAGUUGACCCUUGAGAAC